GAGUAACGCGUGAGUAACCUGCCCUGGAGUGGGGGACAACAGUUGGAAACGACUGCUAAUACCGCAUAAGCCCACGAUCCGGCAUCGGAUUGAGGGAAAAGGAUUUAUUCGCUUCAGGAUGGACUCGCGUCCAAUUAGCUAGUUGGUGAGGUAACGGCCCACCAAGGCGACGAUUGGUAGCCGGACUGAGAGGUUGAACGGCCACAUUGGGACUGAGACACGGCCCAGACUCCUACGGGAGGCAGCAGUGGGGGAUAUUGCACAAUGGGGGAAACCCUGAUGCAGCGACGCCGCGUGGAGGAAGAAGGUUUUCGGAUUGUAAACUCCUGUCGUUAGGGACGAUAAUGACGGUACCUAACAAGAAAGCACCGGCUAACUACGUGCCAGCA
rnacentral:rRNA from 1 species